rnacentral:rRNA from 1 species
ACUGGGACUGAGACACGGCCCAGACUCCUACGGGAGGCAGCAGUAGGGAAUCUUCCACAAUGGACGAAAGUCUGAUGGAGCAACGCCGCGUGAGCGAUGAAGGCCUUCGGGUCGUAAAGCUCUGUUGUUAGGGAAGAACAAGUGCGAGAGUAACUGCUCGCACCUUGACGGUACCUAACCAGAAAGCCACGGCUAACUACGUGCCAGCAGCCGCGGUAAUACGUAGGUGGCAAGCGUUGUCCGGAAUUAUUGGGCGUAAAGCGCGCGCAGGCGGUUUCUUAAGUCUGAUGUGAAAGCCCACGGCUCAACCGUGGAGGGUCAUUGGAAACUGGGAGACUUGAGUGCAGAAGAGGAGGAGUGGAAUUCCACGUGUAGGCGGUGAAAUGCGUAGAGAUGUGGAAGGAACACCAGUGGCGAAGGCGGACUCUCUGGUCUGUAACUGACGCUGAGGCGCGAAAGCGUGGGGAGCAACCAGGAUUAGAUACCCUGGUAGUCCACGCCGUAAACGAUGAGUGUUAAGUGUUAGAGGGUUUCCGCCCUUUAGUGUUGCAGUUAACCCAUUAAGCAUUCCGCCUGGGGAGUACGGUGGCAGGAUUGAAACUCAAAAGGAAUGGACGGGGGCCCGCCCAAGGCGGUGGACCAUGUGGUUUAAUUGGAAC